AAAAAAAAAAAAAAAAAAAUUCAUUUGCUUCGACUAAGCACUCGUCAUGAAUAUGUAGCUGGCUGAUUCAAUGCACUAUUAAGCUCCACACAGUUUCAAAAUUAAUAAUAAUAGAUCUGUUUGUCUUCUCUAAAUCUUAUUUUUUCAUUAUUCUUUAUUUUGCUGUUUUGUGCUAUCACCUUUUUGUGUCAUCAGGCAACUGUGAAUCGUUCCAAGGGGAAUCAAACUGAGAUAUCAAAAGCCGAUCUUAUUCAGAAGAGUGCUUACUGCCGGGUUUCAGAUCGUGAUAUGGACCUUCUUGAGUUGUCGGCCUAUGGCAAUGUUCGUCGUGGACAAGAUUCUGGUGGAUGCAACAUUCAAUGAUUUAAUUUAUCGCUCGGCAUACUAUCCUUUUUGUACUUUGUUUCCCUUGUGAUACAUAUUCUUGUCACAAUGUAUUUGUAUCGAUUGUGGUGGAAAUGAGGGAGAAAACUCAGAAGUGCUGUCCCAACUUCUGGUAGAAGAAUUCAAGUCAAUUAUACAUGCAGUCAAAUAUUAACCAAAAGUAAAUAGAAUUGACUUUUCGGUUA